UAAUACGAACUGUGCGAACGUUAUUCGGAAUCACUGGGCUUAAAGGGUGCGUAGGCGGUUUUCCAAGUCAUGUGUGAAAUCUUCUGGCUCAACCAGAAAACUGCGCGUGAUACUAGAGAACUUGAGUGAGGUAGGGGUGUGUGGAACUUCCGGUGGAGCGGUGAAAUGUGUAGAGAUCGGAAGGAACGCCAGCAGCGAAAGCGGCACACUGGGCCUUUUCUGACGCUGAGGCACGAAAGCUAGGGGAGUGAACGGGAUUAGAUACCCCGGUAAUCCUAGCCGUAAACACUGAACACUGGAGGAAGGGGGCUUCGGCCUUCUUUCUCGUAGCGAAAGCGUUAAGUGUUCCGCCUGGGGAGUAUGGUCGCAAGGCUG
rnacentral:rRNA from 1 species